CAGUGCUGCAGCAAACGCAUUAAGCACUCCGCCUGGGGAGUACGGCCGCAAGGCUGAAACUCAAAGGAAUUGACGGGGGCCCGCACAAGCGGUGGAGCAUGUGGUUUAAUUCGAAGCAACGCGAAGAACCUUACCAGGUCUUGACAUCCUUUGACCACUCUAGAGAUAGAGCUUUCCCUUCGGGGACAAAGUGACAGGUGGUGCAUGGUUGUCGUCAGCUCGUGUCGUGAGAUGUUGGGUUAAGUCCCGCAACGAGCGCAACCCUUAUUGUUAGUUGCCAUCAUUCAGUUGGGCACUCUAGCGAGACUGCCGGUGACAAACCGGAGGAAGGUGGGGAUGACGUCAAAUCAUCAUGCCCCUUAUGACCUGGGCUACACACGUGCUACAAUGGGAAGUACAACGAGUCGCAAAGUCGCGAGGCUAAGCUAAUCUCUUAAAGCUUCUCUCAGUUCGGAUUGUAGGCUGCAACUCGCGUACA
rnacentral:rRNA from 1 species